CACUUUCAAAUGGCAGACCAGGAUUUGAACCAGGGCAGCCUGGUUCCAGAGCUCUCUUCCUUCCUAUUACUCCCUGCUGCCAAAAUUCAGUGUCCUGAUACCUUCUGGGCACAUAGGCAAUAGGAGACACUUGUCUGUUAGAGGCAGAAGACUUUUUUGGGAGCAGUUCUGCUGUGUUUUCAAAGAAAGCCCACCCACAUAAUUCAUCUGUUAAAACAAGAAACACUGCUACUGUGAUGUUGACAUUCUGUCUAGAAGUGAGCAAAUUAACUUGUGUCUGUGUGUAAUUUCUUCAAACUAUGAAACAGUGAGAGAGUGGGUGAGAGUCAUUAUGAAAAAGAGUAAUCUUAAAAUACUCUGAAAUAUGAAAAUAUAAUAAAACAAUCCUACGUUAUCAUUAUACAUUAUUAUUACCAGGAAAAUGCAUUCGAUAAUGCUGCUGCUGCUAGCAUAUCAUCAUAGUGAUUUCUCCAUGCCAGGCACUAUGCCAAGUGCUUUCUAUGCAUCAUCUCGUUUAAUCCCCACAACCACCUUGGGAGAUAAAUGUGAUUAUCAUAGAUACCCUGUGACCCAGCACCCUUGCUUUUAGGUAUUUAUAUGAGAGAUGUGAAAGUAAAAGUCCACAAACAUACUUGCAUAAGAAUAUUAAUAGUAGCUUCAUUCACAAUCGCAAAAACUGAAAACAGCCCAGAUGUCCAUAAAUGGGAGACUAGAUAAACAAACUGGCAUGUUGGAAUAUUACUGAGCAAUAAAAAGGAAGUAACAUUGGUAUUUGCAACAACAUAGAUGAAUCUCAAGAUCAUUAUGCUUAAUGAAGAGUGCAUACUUUCACAAGAGUAUAUACUAUGUUAUUUUGUUUAAACCGUUUCGGUGGAAAAACAUCAGAACAGUGGUUACCUUUGGGAUGUGUCACUGGAAAGAGCAUAAGGGAAUUUUUUGGGUGAUGGAAAUGUUCUAUGUCUUGAUAGGGGCUUAGGUUACACAGGGGUGCAUUUAUCAAAAUUCCUCGAAAGGUACAUUUAAGGUUUCUGCAUUUCAUUAGAUGUAAAUUUUACCUAAAAAAUUCAAAACAAAUAGUGAACUCUAGUUAAUCAUAUGCCUAUUGAAGUGUUUAGAGGUAAAAUGUGCUGAUGUCUGCAACUUUUCUAGAAAUGCAUCAGAAAUAAAAUGGCUUGAUGGAUAGAGAGAGAUGGAUAGAAGGCUGGAUAUACGAUAAAACAGUGCAGGGUCCAGCACAUAGAAAUCACUCCAUUCACUGACUGAAAAUUGAAAGAGAUGGUUGGGACACGCUUCCAUGGCAUGAUAUGGGGAUGCAAUAGAGCCCUAUGUGACCCCAAACAACCCCAAGAACACCUGAAAAGGAGACAGAAGCCAAUCAAGGGAAGACACAAAACACGACUCUUCAUUCCAGUCUCUAUAGUCAGCCAGUAUUCAUUGAGUGCUUUUUCUGUGCUGGGUGGGGUGCUGAGGAGGGGAGAAAGACAAGAUUUUUUGGAGCUUUGGAGCUUACUGUCUAGGGGGAUGUAUACAUGUAUGCCUUAUGCAAAAUAAUUUAACUUAUAAAAAGUUAGUUCCAUUUGUGAAUACUAAUGAAUUAGAAGUGAGUAUAGAAAAACCAUAUAACAUGUAG
ensembl:lncRNA